UACAGAGGGUGCAAACGUUGUUCGGAAUUACUGGGCGUAAAGCGCGUGUAGGCGGCCUAGUGUGUCGGGCGUGAAAUCCCACGGCUCAACCGUGGAAGUGCACUCGAAACUGCAAGGCUGGAGUACUGGAGAGGAUGGUAGAAUGCUCGGUGUAGAGGUGAAAUUCGUAGAUAUCGAGCGGAAUACCGGUGGCGAAGGCGGCCACCUAGACCGUCCCUGACGCUCAAACACGAAA
rnacentral:rRNA from 1 species